AAACAAUCUCAAGCUGGGAAAGGCUACUACUGCUAACAGCGCUGGAAAAAGUCUCUUCUAAAGUAUUCUUUACCAUGUUGAUACUAAAAGGAGGAGUCAAAAGGAGGCAAAAGAAACAAGAAAAGUUUGUUGCAGACAAAAGGCAAGGCUAUUCUGUACAUUCUGGAAACAACUGAGAAUACUGGUAGCCGAAAAGAUUGAAGUUCAGGCUGCUCAGAAUCAGAAGUGAAG
rnacentral:lncRNA from 1 species